CCUUCUCUCUUCUUCUCCGGCGGGUGCCACCCCCAUGGUCGCCGCCGCCUCCUCUCGCCCCUCCGGCCGCCGUCGUCGUGGUCUUCGCCGCGACCACCGCCGACCCUUUCCCUCUCCCUGGCCUCUGCUCUCUCCCUCUCGCCCCACCUCUGACCUCCAUGUCCCUCGUCUCAACUAUCUCCCUCUCGCCACCCCCAUGGCCGCCGGCGCCUAGAUCUGAGGUGGUGUGGUU
rnacentral:lncRNA from 1 species